GCCGGUGUAGCUCAGCUGGCAGAGCAACUGAUUCGUAAUCAGUAGGUCGGAGGUUCAAAUCCUCUCACCGGCACCA
rnacentral:tRNA from 1 species